GACGAACGCUGGCGGCGUGCUUAACACAUGCAAGUCGAACGAAGAGCGAUGGAAGCUUGCUUCUAUCAAUCUUAGUGGCGAACGGGUGAGUAACGCGUAAUCAACCUGCCCUUCAGAGGGGGACAACAGUUGGAAACGACUGCUAAUGCCGCAUACGAUCUGACCUCGGCAUCGAGGAUAGAUGAAAGGUGGCCUCUAUUUAUAAGCUAUCACUGAAGGAGGGGAUUGCGUCUGAUUAGCUAGUUGGAGGGGUAACGGCCCACCAAGGCGAUGAUCAGUAGCCGGUCUGGGAGGAUGAACGGCCACAUUGGGACUGAGACACGGCCCAGACUCCUACGGGAGGCAGCAGUGGGGAAUCUUCCGCAAUGGACGAAAGUCUGACGGAGCAACGCCGCGUGAGUGAUGACGGCCUUCGGGUUGUAAAGCUCUGUUAAUCGGGACGAAAGGCCUUCUUGCGAAUAGUUAGAAGGAUUGACGGUACCGGAAUAGAAAGCCACGGCUAACUACGUG
rnacentral:rRNA from 1 species